GAAACACGGACCAAGGAGUCUAGCAUGUGCGCGAGUCAUUGGGAAUUACUAAACCUAAAGGCGCAAUGAAAGUGAAGGUCCGCCUUGCGCGGACCAAGGGAAGAUGGGCGCGUCCGGUGAUUACCACGGCCGCCCCGCACUCCCGGGGCGUCUCGUUCUCAUCGCGAGAAGAGGCGCACCAAGAGCGUACACGCUGGGACCCGAAAGAUGGUGAACUAUGCCUGGUCAGGACGAAGUCAGGGGAAACCCUGAUGGAGGUCCGUAGCGAUUCUGACGUGCAAAUCGAUCGUCGGAACUGGGUAUAGGGGCGAAAGACUAAUCGAACCAUCUAGUAGCUGGUUCCCUCCGAAGUUUCCCUCAGGAUAGCUGGCGCUCGUUGCAUACGAGUCUCAUCCGGUAAAGCGAAUGAUUAGAGGCAUUGGGGUCGAAACGGCCUCAACCUAUUCUCAAACUUUAAAUGGGUGAGAUCUCCGGCUUGCUCAAACAUUUAUUAUAAAUGAAGCCGUGAGAAACGGAUCAGAGUGCCAAGUGGGCCAUUUUUGGUAAGCAGAACUGGCGCUGUGGGAUGAACCAAACGCCGAGUUAAAGCGCCUAAAUCGACGCUUAUGGGAUACCAUGAAAGGCGUUGGUAACUUAAGACAGCAGGACGGUGGCCAUGGAAGUCGGAAUCCG
rnacentral:rRNA from 1 species